rnacentral:rRNA from 1 species
GUCGAGAAUUUUUCACAAUGGGCGCAAGCCUGAUGGAGCGACGCCGCGUGGGGGAUGAAUGGCUUCGGCCCGUAAACCCCUGUCAUUUGCGAGCAAACCCUUACCGCUAAUACCGGGAAGGUUGAUCGUAGCGAAAGAGGAAGGGACGGCUAACUCUGUGCCAGCAGCCGCGGUAAUACAGAGGUCCCAAGCGUUGUUCGGAUUCACUGGGCGUAAAGGGUGCGUAGGUGGCGAGGUAAGUUCGAUGUGAAAUCCCCGGGCUCAACCCGGAAACGGCAUUGAAUACUAUCCUGCUCGAGGUUUGGAGGGGGGACUGGAAUUCUCGGUGUAGCAGUGAAAUGCGUAGAUAUCGAGAGGAACACCCGUGGCGAAGGCGAGUCCCUGGACAACACCUGACACUGAGGCACGAAAGCUAGGGGAGCAAACAGGAUUAGAAACCCCAGUAGUCC